rnacentral:rRNA from 1 species
GGCAUCACGAAGGCCCCACUGUCUUAAGAGGACUCUCCAUGAAAUUGAAUUCGUAGUGAAGAUGCUACGUCCAUAUUGUAAGACGAAAAGACCCCAUUGAGCUUUACUAAAGACUUGUAUUGCUCGAAAUAACUUAAAUAAAAAGUUUAGAUAAUGUGGGAUCCGUUUUUGGUUAAUGAAACACCACUCUUUUAUUUUAAGAGAGCUAACCUUGUAGGGAGAAUGCAAGUUGGAUAGUUUGGUUGGGGCGACCACCUUUUAAAAGGUAACGAAGGUGAGCUUAAGGUCCGUAGUUAAUAGCUGGUGGCCUGACUGCAAGGGGGACAUCCCGAGCAGACACUGGUAAUUACCCAGUGGGUUAUAGUGACCCGUCAUCUUAGAGUGGAAUAGUUGACGAUCAACGAAUAA